rnacentral:rRNA from 1 species
UACGUAGGGUGCAAGCGUUGUCCGGAAUCAUUGGGCGUAAAGCGCGUGUAGGCGGUCCGGUAAGUCAGCUGUGAAAGUCAGGGGCUCAACCCUUGAAAGCCGGUUGAUACUGUCGGGCUAGAGUCCGGAAGAGGCGAGUGGAAUUCCUGGUGUAGCGGUGAAAUGCGCAGAUAUCAGGAAGAACACCCGUGGCGAAGGCGGGAUCCUGGGCCAGUACUGACGCUGAGGAGCGAAAGCGUGGGAAGCAAACAGG